CAGGUGCAAAGGGCAGCCUGAUGCUUGAAGGGACACCGGUCAUGCAGCAGCCCCAGAUUUCCCUCCCUUUGUAGUUGACUGAAGCAGCUGCAGCCACAGCAGUUGGCAAGAAAUGGAAUGGUUCCUCUUUUUCCUGUUUCCUCAAUAUUUUCCUAAAAGACACAAACUUACAGAAGUUGUUUCUGAAAGUGGAGCUGACUGGAAAAGUACCCAGUUUUGUUUCUAGAUAUCUAUUUGUAGAAUUUUCCAAAGUCAGUCCUUCAGAGACAGGGGAUUCCAUCUCAAUCUACCUUGAAAGGCGAUUGAAUUAAACAAGCAUUUGUACUUUGUUCCAGACUCUAUGACUUUGAACAUUAAGCACUCACCCAGCCACUUUCCCUGGAGAGGUAAAGCUGCAUCAGGCAUGAAUCCAGU